UCGGGAAUUUUGGGCAAUGGGCGAAAGCCUGACCCAGCAACGCCGCGUGAGGGAUGAAGUAUUUCGGUAUGUAAACCUCGAAAGAAUGGGAAGAAUAAAUGACGGUACCAUUUAUAAGCUCCGGCUAACUACGUGCCAGCAGCCGCGGUAAUACGUAGGGAGCAAGCGUUGUUCGGAUUUACUGGGCGUAAAGCGCGUGCAGGCGGAUUGGAGAGUUGGAUGUGAAAGCUCCCGGCUUAACUGGGAGAGGUCGUUCAAUACUUCCAGUCUUGAGUGCAGUAGAGGGAAGUGGAAUUCCGGGUGUAGUGGUGAAAUGCGUAGAUAUCCGGAGGAACACCAGUGGCGAAAGCGGCUUCCUGGACUGUAACUGACGCUCAGACGCGAAAGCUAGGGUAGCAAACG
rnacentral:rRNA from 1 species